GGGGAAUUUUGGACAAUGGGGGCAACCCUGAUCCAGCCAUGCCGCGUGCGGGAAGAAGGCCUUCGGGUUGUAAACCGCUUUUAGCCGGGACGAAAGCUGUACGGAUAACACCCGUGCAGAUUGACGGUACCGGCGGAAUAAGCACCGGCUAACUACGUGCCAGCAGCCGCGGUAAUACGUAGGGGGCGAGCGUUAUCCGGAAUUAUUGGGCGUAAAGAGCACGCAGGCGGUCCGGUAUGUGUGGGGUAAAAGCUCCUGGCUUAACCAGGAGAGGUCUCCAUAAACGGCCGGACUUGAGAGCGAGAGAGGGACACGGAAUUCCAGGUGGAGCAGUGACAUGCGUAGAUACCUGGAGGAACACCAAAGGCGAAGGCAGUGUCCUGGCUCGCGUCUGACGCUCAGGUGCGAAAGCUAGGGGAGCGAA
rnacentral:rRNA from 1 species